rnacentral:misc_RNA from 1 species
CAUUUAGGAGAAUACAAAUCCUAGUGCUUUUUGCAUAAGCCUUGCCAGUCGACCGUGUCUUUGAGAAGCUUGUGCCAUCUGAACACAAUUUACAUGCAUUAUACAAAGUAGGAAUUCCAGGGUUAAUCGGUGGGUUUACGGUUGCAUAAUAAAUUCUAUGAUGCAAUUCUGUUAUUAGUUACAGUUUCAUGACAACUGACCAUGAAAAAUUAUAAAACAUAUAACUGUAUACAAUUCAGCGUCAAUUAUCAUGAAACUGUAACUAAUAACAGAAUUGCAUCAUAGAAUUUAUUAUGCAACCGUACACCCACCGAUUAACCCUGGAAUUCCUACUUUGUAUAAUGCAUGUAAAUUGUGUUCAGAUGGCACAAGCUUCUCAAAGACACGGUCGACUGGCAAGGCUUAUGCAAAAAGCACUAGGAUUUGUAUUCUCCUAAAUGCUUCAAGUCAUGGUAAUUUCUAACUAACCAGAUUCUACAUAUUUCUGGCAAUUAGAAAAACCAAACUUUAAUUUCUGAUCUCAAAAAUGAAACUCCCCUAACCAAACUGUAACAAAAUUUAUCCAUCUACAAAGUAGUUGCAAUCAAAUCUCCAUGGCACACCAUAGAGAAAAAUAGUUAAAUAAAAUAUAGUCGCCUGAGACUAAAGAUUCCAUCUAACCAAUUCUCAAUGGGAAGCCAAUGACCAGAAAUUCAUGAGAAAGGACGGUGUCAUGGCAAACCAGCUGAUAAAAGC